ensembl:lncRNA
GUGGAGGAGGCCGUGGGAGGAAGAGGAGGAAGGAGGGUAGGUCGGAGGCCUUGCCUCCUGGCUCUGGCCAGGCUUGCUCAGGGCCCCUCCAUCUCUCUCUCUCUCUCUCUCACACACACACACACACACACACACACACACACACACGUAUACUUUGCACUCAGAUCCAAGAUUUGAUCUGGUCUAAGCCCCACGUCCCCAGGCAGGAAUGAAGCUAGUCUCACAGCAGCACCGUUUGUAGAGUACCGACCGGGCGCCAGGCACUGCCAGGCACUGAGUGCAUCAUCUCAUUUAAUCCUCAUCCGCCAGGAGGGUGGGGCCAUUAUAACGUCUACUCUACAGACCAGGAAACCGAGGCUCAGAGGCGUUAACACCCUACCCAAGCGUCAGCAUGAAGACAGAGAAAAGGACAGAAGCAGACAGAGAGAGAAGGACCACGAGACAUUGGCUGGCAGGGGCAGACACAGGGGGAAGGAGAGAGAGUCUCCUACGGGAAGCUCCUCUCCUGGGCUGCCUCGGGGGGCGCUGGGGGCCGAGGGCUGCAGUGGCCCGGCCCUGCCCUGCCCUAGGCGAUGCCUGGUCUGGAGGAAGAGGAGCCGAAGGGCAGGGUCCGCACUGGAUGGAGCGCCAGAAGAGGGGAGAUGGAGGCCCAGGGCUUCCCCACAACCAGAGCCUCCGGGAGCCAGUCUCCCUCUAGGGCUCUGGAGGCAGAAGACCUCCCUGACUGGGUCACGCGGAUGUGAGCUCGUGAACUGAGGGUGCCCUGCAUGGACUCCUUACGGCGGGACAGCCUCGUGCCAAGGCCUGCAGCCAUGUUCCCUUGUCUAGUCCUCACGGCAGUUCCACCAGAAGGCUGCUAUGACGGCCUCCCCCCGACAGAUGAGGAAACUGAGGCUCAGAGAGGCCUUGUCCACAGUCACGUAGCUUGUAAAGGUUUCAGAGCCUCACGACCUCCUCUGGCUGCUCCCCUCAGGCUGGCCCCAGGGCCUGGGCAGCUGUGGGGCCCUGGGCCCCGAGGCAAGGCCCCCUCUUCUGUUGCCAAGGUGGCAGAGGAAGGUGCCUACCUGCCCCUCCCAGGCGCGGUGCAGCGCCACGGCACCCAUGGAACGCGGCUGCAUUCCUGUGGCAGGGGUGUGGCUGCCCGCGGCCGUGUGCCCCAGGCCUGUGCCUGCUGCUGAGCCGCCCAGCGCCCGCGCUGAGUCAGCAGGCCGGCAGCCCUGUCCCUCCCAGCAAAGCCCCAUCACCAGGAGGGUGGUGGCGGCCGCGCAAAGGAGGAAACUCGACUUCCCUUGGAGGAGGGGGGCGCCUUGGGUUCUAAGCUGGGGACCCAGGCGGGGAGCAGCAGGAGGCAGGACCUUCAGAGCCAGAGGGGGGACUUCAGACUGGACAGGAGGCAACUGUGCUUUCCUCAGCGUCUUCUGUGUGCCAGGCGCCGUGCUGGCGGCCGGCGAGCUUCUCUUAUCUCACGUAAUAAAACUGACUCACUAUCCUGAUCCCCCAUUUUGCAUAUGGGGAAACUGAGGCGCGGCCAGGCCCUUAGCGAGCAAAGGGCAUGGACAGGCCUCGGAGCUAUGCUCAGUCUGCCGGGAGGGGGAUGCGGGAGGGACCCCCUGUUGCACCAGGCUUGCCCAAUGUGAGCCUGGACUAGCCACUCCCCCCUGAGCCUCAGUUUCCCAUCUCUGUGGGGGUCAGCCGAGGGUCUCUCCGAGCCCUGAGAAGGAAGGGAAAGUGAGAGGCCGCACAACUUCCUCCUCCCGCUAUUUGCUCUUGAUUAGGGACAAGUCACUUCCCCUGGCUGGUCUCACCCUCUCGGCCAGCCUUUGAUCUCCUGGCGGUGCCUGCCUUCAGAUCCCUUUAUCUUUAUGGGCAAUGCCCCUGGGUGCCACCCUCACCCGUCCGCACCCCACACUGGCAUCCGGAGGGCAGAGAGGGAGAAACGAGAGUGGGAAGUGGAGGGCCAGGGGCCAGGAGGGGC